rnacentral:rRNA from 1 species
CUACGGGUCGCUGCAGUGGGGAAUAUUGCACAAUGGGGGGAACCCUGAUGCAGCAACGCCGCGUGGAGGAUGACGCAUUUCGGUGUGUAAACCCCUUUUAUAUGUCAAGAAAAUGACGGUAGCAUAUGAAUAAGCACCGGCUAACUCCGUGCCGGCAGCCGCGGUAAUACGGAGGGUGCAAGCGUUACUCGGAAUCACUGGGCGUAAAGGACGCGUAGGCGGGUUGGAAAGUCAGGUGUGAAAUCCUACAGCUUAACUGUAGAACUGCACUUGAAACUUCUAAUCUAGAGUAUGGGAGGGGGAGAUGGAAUUAGUGGUGUAGGGGUAAAAUCCGUAGAUAUCACUAGGAAUACCUAAAGCGAAGGCGAUCUCCUGGAACAUUACUGACGCUAAGGCGUGAAAGCGUGGGGAGCAAACAGGAUUAGAUACCCCCGUAGUC